GUGUCUGGUAUUAUCAGAAAAUAGCUUCUUUGUGUCGUAUCUGCUUCCUCGUAUUGUAGGAAAUAUAACCCACGAAUAAUUCUCAACAAUGUCUGAGACAUACAAAAUUUGACCUGGCAUGUAUGUGGCUGACAAUUUCAAUCGGGAGGUCGCUCGAUGGAGAACUCGUACGCUGGUUUAUAACAUCUCGCGAGUGCUACCAUGCAGAUUUAUCAGUGUAUUAAGUCUGUUGAAAACAAAUGUACGAUCAACAAUUAACAACGACAGGUUAUCAUCGCUAUUAUUACUGCAUAUUGAUCGGGAUUUCAGUGUGAAUGUUGACAAAGUAAUAGAGAAGUUCGUUUCUGCUUAGACCCGA
rnacentral:lncRNA from 1 species